CACGUUUACACGUUUAAAACGUGCGCCUCAAUCUCUCUAAUAAUUCGGAUCUACGUAGACACGUGACUUGUAGGGCCAACACUAAAACUUGAAAGGUCCUUUUUAUCAAGCCCAUUAUAAAUUGGGUCAGGCCAAAAAUGGGGCGGCCCAAUGAUGAGGGAUUGGACCCAUCCGGAAAGGAACACCCCAAAAAAUUUUCUCGGGAUUUUCGAUCCGUCCGGAUUCGAAUUCGAGUCCUUCACAGAAAUAGGCUGACAUCUUACAGCUGUCGUUAUAUCGAGGUUUGACCGUAUGUGUGUCUGUGUAUAUAUUGACAACUUCAAUAUAACGCUUUCCUAAAUACUUCCAGUUUCGUAAACAGUCUUCGUAUUGAAUUCUUAUGAAUGGAUCUUGCACAUAAAUAUUGUAAAAAUUUAUAAAUAAUUUAAAAUAAUUUAAAAUGUAAAAGAUCACGAAAAGAACCCAAACUUUAUAAAGGGUGGCCUAAAAGUCAGUUAACCGUUAUAACGACUGAAUUAAUUUACUUUUUUAAUCGUGUUUUUACUUACUUAAUCCACUCAACUUGCGAUUCAUAUUCGCAAGUGUACCUAGAACACAAAACAUGGUUAACUGACUUAUAGACCACCCGUAUAUCAAUUGGUCUAAUUUUGUUAAUAAAACAAUUGAAAGAUUAAAUUUCUAAAUAAAAUUAAUUAAUUAAUGAUACAAUAUUAAUUAUACAGUCGAACCUCCAAUAACGGACACCUCUAAACAGCGGCCAUUUACUAAGAACAUUAAAAAAAAAAAAAAAAAGUGCAUAUAGAAUAAAGGUUUGACUGUAUAUUUUUAAGUAAUGGUUUAAUUAUCUAUGACUCAUAAAAUUUCGAAAGAAAUGUUUCAAUUUAUUUAUAAUGUUUUUUAAUUAGGUUUAAAUUGAUUUUUUUUAAAUUUAAUUUUCAAUGAAAACGGGAUUUUAAAAGAUGUUUGGUAAUUUAUAAUUGGUUAGAAGACCAAAAAUAAAAUCUUUUCAUUGUAAAUAAACUAAAGGGAAAAUUCUUAAACAGAAAAACAAAAAUUAUUUUAAAAAGUAUAAAAAAUAUUUCCCACGGUUUUUAAUUAUAACUAAACCUUAAACCAGCAAACAACGGCCGCUGACGGAAACACAAAAGAAUGGUCGCUCUUCGGAGAUUAUUUCCUAUACAUUUUUAAUUUAAAAAACGGCCGCUGUUCAGUGGCCGUUGUUGGAGGUUCUAAAUGAGUUUUAGGUACUUUAAUUACUUUAUACAGUAAUUAAUAUGAAUUAUAUUCGAACCUGCAAUAACGGUCAGGCGUAACGUGGCGGCCAUUUUUUCAGGAACGUUUUUUUUCAAAUGCAUACCUUCAAACAAUGGAGAAUUUUUUACGUUCCCGUCGGUGUCCGUCGUUCAGAGGUUUGAAUGUAUAAAUUUUGCAAUUAAUUCUUUAAUUACUUAGUAAUUGUAGUGAAAUUUUAAUAUAUAAAUUUAUUAAGUGAAGUUAUUAAAAAAAAUAGUGAAUUACUUAAUUUUCUUCUCAUUAAAAAAAUGUAAUGGAUAUUAAAAAGGUCAUAGGAUAUAAUUAUUUUUAAUGAUACAUCAGCGUGUGUUAUGACACAUUGUUAUUGUUUGAUAAUAAUUUUAACGUUAUCAAAAAAUGACUUUAUCAAUUUUAAGCUUACAUAUUAGACUGUAGGCUACCUUUUUUUUUAGCAUUUGAAUGACACUGUUUUUUUUCUGUAUUUUACGGGAAAAUUGUUAAGAAAUGAACGUAAAUAAACCGUUUCUUUAAAAUUAUUUAAUAAUUACCUGAAUAAAUAAAUAAUUUAUAAUUAAUUUUAGCUUAUUUUUAACUCCUGAAGUAUAGAAAUUGAUACUGUAAUUAGUUUUGGUUUCAUUACCUCUUAUCUUAUCGCAGGGUUAUCAUCGAUUAAACAAUACCAAAGAUUUAAUUGUUUUAUUCUUUUUUAAAUUGAAUUUAAAAAAGCUUAAAUCAUUUUUUAUUUAAUAUUUAAUAAGAAGAUUCCAUUCGUGAGUAUAAAUUGGCUCUGUAUCGAGAAUUGACUGUAUAUAUCUAUGAUCAGUCCCAUUUAGACGGAUAUCAACAGAGUUAUAUAAUACUGCCCCAGAUAGAGAAACUCCAAAAUUCUGAUUUUUUAAUAAAAAACCAUGAUAAAAAUUAAAGUUUAUUUCAUACAUGAA
rnacentral:lncRNA from 1 species